UUCCAAUAAAACUUUAUUUACAAAAACAGGCAGUGGGCUGGGUUUGACCCACAGGCCAUAUUUUGCCAACCCUAGGUGUAGAUGAUCUUCAGCAUCUUUUUAAAUAACAAUAAUUCCUUUAGGUGAGAAGUGGAUUUUUUGAUACUACACAUACAAUUCAUUUAAAUGUAAGACCCCCAAUAUAAUAACUCCAACCAUUUUUUUGUUGCUUUGGAUAACAUGUUUUCUUCUCUCCUUCAGUGAUAAAUCAAACCUCAACAGAAUUUAUUUAGAGGCUAGAAUAACAGGUCAGGUGAUGCUCUCACUGAGGAAUUUGACAAUAUACAUGACUAAUCCUAGACCUCAAAGUGUUCACAAUGUAAUGAAAGAGACAUACACAUAAAGGCAUAAUUAUAAAGCAUUACAGUAAUUGCUAUAAUCAUGCUAUUAUCCAUUAUCAAGACUUAAGUUCUACUACAUCCAAAUUUGAGAUGCUAGAGCAGACCAAGUUCAAGGACAUUGCAAUAUAAUACAUGUAGGAUAUGCAGAAAAUUGGUGGGCCAUCUGAAAUGCAUUCUUGUGAAAAUUGAGGGUGUGAGUUUUCAGGGAAGUCUUGACUCAGAAUAGGACUGGUCCACAGAGCAAGGCUGUGUCAGAUUACACUUGAGACCUAAAGAGUGGCCAUCUGUGAUAAAAGUCAGACCUUUGUUCAACUACAAAGAAGUAAGGCGUAGUUAUGAUACAGAACAUGUGAAGAGAACUUUUUGUUCUGGAAGGUGCACAUGACAUUCCAUUUGAAUGAGAAACAUCAGAGAGAGGCGUGCUUUCACUCUCACAAGGCACGAUCCCCAGCUGCACAAAGCUUUGUAUUUCUUGUUAUAUUUCCUUUUUCAGGGAGAUGAGGGGCUGGUGGUAGAGAUGCAUGGACCACAGCAAGUUAUUGUGCCAUGAUUUUGUCUUUGACGUACUUAUUUCUGAAAUUCAUUAUGACUUGAAAUAUCCUUUUCAUAAAGACUGCAAUAAAGUCCUUUGACAAUAUGGCUAGAUGGAUCAAAGGGCUUAUCUCUGUUGAAUCUUGAGUAGCCACCCAGAUAUCACUGGAGAAGCAACAAUGCAGGCCUGCAGGAGAUCAAGGCUAAGGGCAAGGAGCGGAAGGGAGACACACAAGAUGCUCAAGUCUUUAAAAAUCCCCAUUGGGAGAAUCACGCUACAAAUGGACAAAUCACAUCCUGAAACGGUGGACUCUCUGAAGACCUUACAAAACAGCCUUCAGGCCUGAUCUGUCUCCUUUCCCAGCUUGAACUGUGUUUUCCUAAAGUGGUUUCACUUUCCUCCUUCUCCAAAAGGUGGCAUCAGAAAGGAGGGAGCAGGAAGGCACAGGCCAAACGCUCAUCUCAAUGGCUGCCUCAGCCAUGCUCUGACAAGUGAGCUGAUGGGAAAAUUGCUCCUAAUUAAAUCACUUCAUUAAAAAGAGACCAUUUUCCAAGCGAAUGCACUCCGCAGUUCUCGUGGUGGGUAAUUUGUUGUGUUAAUAAGCUGGAGAGGUUGAAUUCCAAGGUUGCAGCCGCUGACAGCCUGCAGAAAUAGGGACCAUAUUUUGGCAAUGCCCUUGCCCUGUCGAGGGUACCGAGGAAAGCUGACAAAUGGCAGUUCCUUAUAAUAGUUUUGCUCACUGGAGACCUGAGGGGCUGAGAAUGAUGUUUUCUAGUCUGUAGGUUUAGGAUGCCAACAAGAUAAAACAAAUACCCAGAAAAAGGCGCUGUGUCUUUUGUUCGCUGAAAAAUAAACAGGGGAGGACUUCCCUUUUGUAGAUCCCACUGUGAUAGAGGAAGAGGGUGCUUCUUCAGCUGUAUUUGAACCGAAGCAUGGAAAAUUGCCAUCUGCAUUCAACUCUGUGGUUUUAGGGCAGCUGGAUAGGCAGUGCUGCACAGUCUGAGGCUGUGGACGUUGAAGUUAGACCAAGUGUCAGUUCCAAUCCUAAUACUUACCAGCUGUGACACCUUGAACAUGCAUGGUAAUCUCUCUAAGCCUCAUUUUCCUCAUCU
rnacentral:lncRNA from 10 species